rnacentral:lncRNA from 1 species
GGCGUGCGGUGAACUCGGCGACGAGAGCAUCGAGCUUGAGUCAGGCGAGCGGAGGCGGCGCUGCGCGCGGCGGGCGGCGAACUCGGCGACGAGGGCAUGUACGCCUCCGACUUGUGCACCAGCAGCUGCUUUGAAAGGAGGCGCUGGUCAACGGAGCGCUGGCGAGGGUGGCCAAUUCACAGGUACUUUUCUCCCCUGUAAUCACCUAUGCUGUCACCCCGUAGUGUUAAGAGAAAUGGCUCAUUCACGGCGCUGCGAGUUGCGAGAUUGAUUGAGGUUUCAUUCCAAAUGUGUGUAACUGAUGGUGAAUCUGUGUGUUGACAUGUAGGAUCGCGCGGAGAAGGUUGGGGGUGUGAAAGUUUAAGAUGAUGAGCUCGACGUUGCUAUCGUUGGUGGAGGCAUGGUGGGCUUGGCUGUUUGCUUGUCUAGUGUGUAAGUAUUGAUCCCUUCGUGUACUUCUCUUCCUUCGAUUAAAUUGUUCAUGAGGUCAGCUUAGUGUUACGCUUAGGCUGCGAAUCGAUCCCAGCAUUAGUUAUAAAAAGGAAACUCGGCACUAUUGUAAUAAAGUUCUCAGAGAUUCUUCCAGCCAUUUUUACUAGUUCAGUAUGAAGUAUUACUAAUAAUAUUGGUAGAAUGGUAGUUGCAGAGGAGUUUGGUGGCUGUAUAUGGAAACCCCCACUACAAUUUUUCCAUUUUUAUAUGCUUUUAGCAAGAACAAAAUUUACCAUGGCAUUUUCAUAUGUUCUGUCACCACUGCAUAGAAGAUCUUUGUGAUUUAAUCUUCUUACAGUGGUAGAGAUGUCAUGGCAUCAGUCUGUAGUUUUUGCCAUGUUGUUUUUGUGCUAGAAAUCUGACCCCCACAUUUACCUUGGUUACUUCCAAUCUGUAGUUUUUGGAGUUAGCAUAUGGAGUUGUCGUGGACAAUUUUCAAG